AGGUUUGAAGCCUGCACCCCGGACCACCGAGGAUCAUCCGGGCACUAGGAACUUCUUGCGUAGAAUCAAUUUAUUCCUACCUGAGUGUGUAUACAAAUGAGUCAUGAAAGAAAUUAAUGAAGAUUUCGUUUGGAAGAAGUAGAACCGCAAAGCAUCAUUGGUAGAAUAUGCUAAUAAAAGAAAAUGCCAUUGGCCCAGUUGGAGGAAAGCAACGCCUCUGGAAGUCUGUAACAAUAAUAUGCUACCAUUCAUUUCCUAUUUUGAACGGUGGUAGGCUAUGGGAAUAAAAGAAAAUAUCAUGAU